AACGAACGCUGGCGGCAUGCCUAACACAUGCAAGUCGAACGAAGUCUUCGGACUUAGUGGCGCACGGGUGCGUAACGCGUGGGAAUCUGCCCUUGGGUGCGGAAUAACUUCUCGAAAGGGAUGCUAAUACCGCAUAAUGUCGUAAGACCAAAGAUUUAUCGCCCAAGGAUGAGCCCGCGUAAGAUUAGCUAGUUGGUGGGGUAAAAGCCUACCAAGGCGACGAUCUUUAGCUGGUCUGAGAGGAUGAUCAGCCACACUGGGACUGAGACACGGCCCAGACUCCUACGGGAGGCAGCAGUGGGGAAUAUUGGACAAUGGGCGAAGCCUGAUCCAGCAAUGCCGCGUGAGUGAUGAAGGCCCUAGGGUUGUAAAGCUCUUCUACCAGGGAUGAUAAUGACAGUACCUGGAGAAUAAGACUCCGGCUAACUCCGUGCCAGCAGCCGCGGUAAU
rnacentral:rRNA from 1 species